AUUGAACGCUGGCGGCAGGCCUAACACAUGCAAGUCGCACGAGUGGCGGACGGGUGAGUAAUGUGUGGGAAACUGCCUGAUGGAGGGGGAUAAAGAGUGGAAACGGUAGCUAAUAGCGCAUACCAUCGGAUGUGCACAGAUGGGAUUAGAUAGUAGGUGGGGUACAGGCUCAACUAGGCGACGAUCCCUAGCUGGUCUGAGAGGAUGACCAGCCACACUGGAACUGAGACACGGUCCAGAGUCCUACGGUAGGAGUCAGUGGGGAAUAGGGCACAACGGGCGCAAGCCUGAUGCAGCCAGGCGUCGUGUAUGAAGGAGGCCUUCGGGUUGUAAAGUACUUUCAGCGGGGAGGCGUUACCCGCCGAAGAAGCACCGGCUAACUCCGUGCCAGCAGCCGCGGUAAUUC
rnacentral:rRNA from 1 species